UACAUGGGGUGCAAACGUUGCUCGGAAUUAUUGGGCGUAAAGCGCACGUAGGCGGUUCGUUAAGUCGGAUGUGAAAGCCCUCGGCUCAACUGAGGAAGUGCACCCGAAACUGGCGAGCUUGAGUACGGAAAGAGGAUCGCGGAAUUCCCGGUGUAGAGGUGAAAUUCGUAGAUAUCGGGAGGAACACCGGUGGCGAAGGCGGCGAUCUGGGUCGAUACUGACGCUGAGGUGCGAAAGCAUGGGUAGCGAACAGG
rnacentral:rRNA from 1 species